CGGCAGGCUUAACACAUGCAAGUUCGAACGGUAACAGGAGAGAGCUUGCUUUCUUGCUGACGAGUGGCGGACGGGUGAGUAAUGCUUGGGAAUCUGGCUUAUGGAGGGGGAUAACGACGGGAAACUGUCGCUAAUACCGCGUAGAGUCGAGAGACGAAAGUGCGGGACCGCAAGGCCGCAUGCCAUAGGAUGAGCCCAAGUGGGAUUAGGUAGUUGGUGGGGUAAUGGCCUACCAAGCCGACGAUCUCUAGCUGGUCUGAGAGGAUGACCAGCCACACCGGGACUGAGACACGGCCCGGACUCCUACGGGAGGCAGCAGUGGGGAAUAUUGCGCAAUGGGGGCAACCCUGACGCAGCCAUGCCGCGUGAAUGAAGAAGGCCUUCGGGUUGUAAAGUUCUUUCGGUGACGAGGAAGGCGUGAUGUUUAAUAGGCAUCACGAUUGACGUUGAUCACAGAAGAAGCACCGGCUAACUCCGUGCCAGCAGCCGCGGUAAUACGGAGGGUGCGAGCGUUAAUCGGAAUAACUGGGCGUAAAGGGCACGCAGGCGGCUAUUUAAGUGAGGUGUGAAAUCCCCGGGCUUAACCUGGGAAUUGCAUUUCAGACUGGGUAGCUAGAGUACUUUAGGGAGGGGUAGAAUUCCACGUGUAGCGGUGAAAUGCGUAGAGAUGUGGAGGAAUACCGAAGGCGAAGGCAGCCCCUUGGGAAUGUACUGACGCUCAUGUGCGAAAGCGUGGGGAGCAAACAGG
rnacentral:rRNA from 1 species